rnacentral:rRNA from 1 species
CUAGUAGCUGGUUCCCUCCGAAGUUUCCCUCAGGAUAGCUGGUGCAUUAUAAUAUUAUGUUAAAUAAUCUUAUCUGGUAAAGCGAAUGAUUAUAGGCCUUAGGGUCGAAACGACCUUAACCUAUUCUCAAACUUUAAAUGGGUAAGAACCUCACCUUUCUUGAUAUGAAGGUUGAGGUUAUGAUAUAAUGUGCCCAGUGGGCCACUUUUGGUAAGCAGAACUGGCGCUGUGGGAUGAACCAAACGUAAUGUUACGGUGCCUAAAUUAACAACUCAUGCAGAUACCAUGAAAGGCGUUGGUUGCUUAAAACAGCAGGACGGUGGACAUGGAAGUCGUAAUCCGCUAAGGAGUGUGUAACAACUCACCUGCCGAAGCAACUAGCCCUUAAAAUGGAUGGCGCUUAAGUUGUAUACCUAUACAUUACCGCUAAAGUAGAUGAUUUAUAAUACAAUUUCGAUUGAAUUAUUAAUUUUGAAACUUUAGUGAGUAGGAGGGUACAAUGGUGUGCUUAGAAGUGUUUGGCGUAAGCCUGCAUGGAGCCGCUAUUGGUACAGAUCUUGGUGGUAGUAGCAAAUAAUCGAAUGAGACCUUGGAGGACUGAAGUGGAGAAGGGUUUCGUGUGAACAGUGGUUGAUCACGAGUUAGUCGGUCCUAAGUUCAAGGCGAAAGCCGAAAAUUUUCAAGUUUUAAUGC